rnacentral:tRNA from 1 species
GGCGCGGUACCCCAGUAGGUAGAGGGACGGGCAUAACCACAGCAGCGCGACGCUUUAGGGAGCCACGCGGGCGCCCUGGUUAUGUCUAUGGUGUCGGUGGUUCAAAUCCACCCCGCGCCA